rnacentral:rRNA from 1 species
CACGUAGGGUGCAAACGUUGCUCGGAAUUAUUGGGCGUAAAGGGUCCGUAGGCGGCUUGAAAAGUCAGGUGUGAAAUACCCCGGCUCAACCGGGGAAUUGCGCCUGAAACUCUCAGGCUUGAGUGCAGAAGAGGAGAAUGGAACUCUCGGUGGAGCGGUGAAAUGCGUAGAUAUCGAGAGGAACGCCAGCGGCGAAGGCGAUUCUCUGGCCUGUAACUGACGCUGAGGGACGAAAGCUAGGGGAG